rnacentral:rRNA from 2 species
UUUGAUCCUGGCUCAGAUUGAACGCUGGCGGCAGGCCUAACACAUGCAAGUCGAGCGGUAACAUUUCUAGCUUGCUAGAAGAUGACGAGCGGCGGACGGGUGAGUAAUGCUUGGGAACAUGCCUUGAGGUGGGGGACAACAGUUGGAAACGACUGCUAAUACCGCAUAACGUCUACGGACCAAAGGGGGCUUCGGCUCUCGCCUUUAGAUUGGCCCAAGUGGGAUUAGCUAGUUGGUGAGGUAAUGGCUCACCAAGGCAACGAUCCCUAGCUGGUUUGAGAGGAUGAUCAGCCACACUGGAACUGAGACACGGUCCAGACUCCUACGGGAGGCAGCAGUGGGGAAUAUUGCACAAUGGGCGCAAGCCUGAUGCAGCCAUGCCGCGUGUGUGAAGAAGGCCUUCGGGUUGUAAAGCACUUUCAGUCAGGAGGAAAGGUUAGUAGUUAAUACC